UGCAGAAUUUUUCCACUCAAAUUUCUAUUGUCUUCUCCUAGCCAUUAGUGUUUUCCCUUUGUUUUCACUCAAAAUUCGGUCCCACAACCGUGUUCAUCAACCCGAGGAUAGCACAGAUUUGUUGUUGGUGGUCUCAUUGAGUUAGGAGAAGAAGUUAUAGUGGAGGUCUUCAAAGAUUUCGCCUCCAUUAUUGGAAUAAAAAGCUCUCUGCUACAAUGCUCUGUUUAUGAGAUUCUUCAGUGGCGGCCAUGGGGAAAGUUCGUGGUGGAGAUUCAUGAAUCAUGAUCUCUUGCAGAACUGUGCUCGGCUGUGGCUGGAGACAUCCAGUGUGGUAGAGAAAGUGGCAAGGGUGUACGAUCAGCAACUUGUGCCUUUUGAUGGCAUUUGACGAUUCUGAACUUUUCGAGUGGAAACCUUACUGGCCACGUUUGGUUCUGCAUCACCGUCUUUGUCAUUGGCGAGGCAAUCUAUUUCAGACAAAGCUUUACUGUGACAAAUUUAGAGAGAACUCCAAUGGGAGCAUCGAGAGAAAGAGAAACUACAAAGUUGGUGGGAAGAACUGGUAGACGAGCAAGGGAGAGAAAUUUUGUCAAAAUCCGAAAUGUUGCUGCCAAACUGAGCGCCUUCUUUUUGGUGGCGAUUUUGGGUAUUCUUUUCUUCUAAAAUUAUCAAAUACUGAAAAUGUUGGCGUCAAACAGCUUAAGAACGUUGAUAUACAACAUUACCAGUCAAUAAAUGAUCAUAUUCUGA